GAAUUGACGGGGCCCGCACAAGCGGUGGAGCAUGUGGUUUAAUUCGACGCAACGCGAAGAACCUUACCAGGUCUUGACAUCCCGAUGCUAUUUCUAGAGAUAGAAAGUUACUUCGGUACAUCGGUGACAGGUGGUGCAUGGUUGUCGUCAGCUCGUGUCGUGAGAUGUUGGGUUAAGUCCCGCAACGAGCGCAACCCCUAUCUUUAGUUGCCAUCAUUGAGUUGGGCACUCUAAAGAGACUGCCGGUGUCAAACCGGAGGAAGGUGGGGAUGACGUCAAGUCCUCAUGGCCUUUAUGACCAGGGCUACACACGUACUACAAUGGCCGGUACAAAGGGCAGCGACACAGCGAUGUGAAGCCAAUCCCGAAAAGCCGGUCUCAGUCCGGAUUGGAGUCUGCAACUCGACUCCAUGAAGUUGGAAUCGCUAGUAAUCGCGGAUCAGCACGCCGCGGUGAAUACGUUCCCGGGCCUU
rnacentral:rRNA from 1 species